rnacentral:lncRNA from 1 species
CAGGGAGGCAGAUCAAGACUCAGAUGGUCACGUCAGCUUCCGAGACUUUGAAUACGCCAUGAACCAUGGGAAAGCAAAAUGAGCCAGGCCGGACACUUGUGAACUACUUCUGGAGAACCUGUGCAGAUGGAUGAACUGUAAUCUAGUAAUCACACAGACCACACUCUAGGAAGGGCAUGACACUGUGUACUUGUGCGUUAACUCUUAGCUAUAGGUUUGGAAUGUUGAUAUUGGACCUAGAGGUGGGACUCUCCUUCUGUGUCUCUACCAGCCCAGUGGGUUUCGGGGGGUUUUCCCUUCCUACUCUAGUCAGCUCUGCCUCCUCCACACUGUGAGUUGAAGGCUCUGCUCACUCCACAUGGGUCCCUCGCUCUCAUCAGCUCCGGGGAGGGUUCGCUUUGCUCUGCUAGUGGUGUCACUGCCAUUCACUUGCUCCACCUUGGCUGAAGGUCAAGCUUCCUGAGUCCAAGCCAUGAGCCAGUGCUGGGAAAACAGAGACUUCCUCAGACAAUGUCCCCGGAGUAGCGAUCGGUGCACAGGGCACCAGUGUGCACAGCAUAGGAAGCAGCUCGUGUGGGCGCCAGCAUUCUUCAUACAGAGAAGGCCAGAAUGCAGUUGGGGUCUUAAUGGGCAGAAGGGUGUGAUUUUUGGGUCCCUUUAGCAUAGCCUGGGCCUGAGCCUGGGCUUCUUCCUUCAGAGCAGCCGGCUGGAGAAGCGGGCCAGCAGCCCUCUGCUGCAUACUUCCAGUUCUGGGUAGUUUUGCCGAGUACCUGGAGAUUCAGCCAUCCUAGGGUUAGGAGGCUCUACAUCCCGCCAUGCCCCAGCGCGCCGGUGACUACCUUCCCGGACCUCAUGGAGGCACAACAUAGCAUCUACUAAAAAGAAUUCUGAAAUACUGAUAUUAUCACUGUAAGUGUUUCACAACAUUAACAUUUGUAAAAUAAUUAAUGUAAUUUAUGUCUCUAAAGUGUUAAACAUUAAAAGAUCAAGUAAAAAUAUAAA